CAUGCAAGUCGAACGGUAACAGGGAAGAAGCUUGCUUCUUUUGCUGACGAGUGGCGGACGGGUGAGUAAUGUCUGGGAAACUGCCUGAUGGAGGGGGAUAACUACUGGAAACGGUAGCUAAUACCGCAUAACGUCGCAAGACCAAAGAGGGGGACCUUCGGGCCUCUUGCCAUCGGAUGUGCCCAGAUGGGAUUAGCUAGUAGGUGGGGUAACGGCUCACCUAGGCGACGAUCCCUAGCUGGUCUGAGAGGAUGACCAGCCACACUGGAACUGAGACACGGUCCAGACUCCUACGGGAGGCAGCAGUGGGGAAUAUUGCACAAUGGGCGCAAGCCUGAUGCAGCCAUGCCGCGUGUAUGAAGAAGGCCUUCGGGUUGUAAAGUACUUUCAGCGGGGAGGAAGGGAGUAAAGUUAAUACCUUUGCUCAUUGACGUUACCCGCAGAAGAAGCACCGGCUAACUCCGUGCCAGCAGCCGCGGUAAUACGGAGGGUGCAAGCGUUAAUCGGAAUUACUGGGCGUAAAGCGCACGCAGGCGGUUUGUUAAGUCAGAUGUGAAAUCCCCGGGCUCAACCUGGGAACUGCAUCUUGAUACUGGCAAGCUUGAGUCUCGAUAGAGGGGGGUAGAAUUCCAGGUGUAGCGGUGAAAUGCGUAGAGAUCUGGAGGAAUACCGGUGGCGAAGGCGGCCCCCUGGAACGAAAGACUGAACGCUCAGGGUGCAAAAGCGUGGGGGCAAACAGGAUUAGAUACCCCUGGUUAGUCCACGCCCGUAAACGAUGUCGAACUUUGGAAGUUUGUGCCCCUUAAGGGCGUGGCUUUCCGGAAGCUAACCGCGUUAAGUCAAACCGCCUUGGGGAAGUACGGGCCGCCCAGGUUUAAAAACUCAAAUGAAUUUGACCGGGGGGCCCCCGCACAAGCCGGUGGGGAGCAUGGUGGUUUUAAAUUCCGAAUGGCAACCGGCGAA
rnacentral:rRNA from 1 species